rnacentral:rRNA from 1 species
ACGCUCGACACCUACGGGGGCAGCAGUGGGGAAUAUUGCACAAUGGGGGAAACCCUGAUGCAGCGACGCCGCGUGAGCGAAGAAGUAUCUCGGUAUGUAAAGCUCUAUCAGCAGGGAAGAAGAUGACGGUACCUGACUAAGAAGCACCGGCUAAAUACGUGCCANCAGCCGCGGUAAUCUGAGCGGGCUGGCAAGGC